CAGUCGCCGCGGUAAUACGUAGGUGGCAAGCGUUGUCCGGAAUUAUUGGGCGUAAAGGGCUCGCAGGCGGUUUCUUAAGUCUGAUGUGAAAGCCCCCGGCUCAACCGGGGAGGGUCAUUGGAAACUGGGAAACUUGAGUGCAGAAGAGGAGAGUGGAAUUCCACGUGUAGCGGUGAAAUGCGUAGAGAUGUGGAGGAACACCAGUGGCGAAGGCGACUCUCUGGUCUGUAGCUGACGCUGAGGAGCGAAAGCGUGGGGAGCGAACAGGAUUAGAUACCCCAGUAGUCCCUGUCUCUUAUAA
rnacentral:rRNA from 1 species